UCCGGUUUAACACCGGCAGUCUCUUCAGAGUGGUCAUCUUACUGUACCAACUAAAGAUAAGGGUUGCGCUCGUUGCGGGACUUAACCCAACAUUUCACAACACGAGCUGACGACAGCCAUGCAGCACCUGUCUCCACGUCCCCGAAGGGAAAACGACAUCUCUGCCGUCGUCGUGGGAUGUCAAACCCAGGUAAGGUUCUGCGCGUUGCUUCGAAUUAAACCACAUACUCCACCGCUUGUGCGGGCCCCCGUCAAUUCCUUUGAGUUUUAGUCUUGCGACCGUACUCCCCAGGCGGGAUACUUAAUGCGUGUGCUACGAUACUCAGAGGGUUAAUUCUCCAAACAUCUAGUAUCCAUCGUUUACGGCGUGGACUAC
rnacentral:misc_RNA from 1 species